CCGGAAAGCAUUAGAGAUAGUGCCCCCCUUGCUGGUCGGUGUACAGGUGGUGCAUGGCUGUCGUCAGCUCGUGUCGUGAGAUGUUGGGUUAAGUCCCGCAACGAGCGCAACCCUUGUCCUGUGUUGCCAGCAUGCCCUUCGGGGUGAUGGGGACUCACAGGAGACCGCCGGGGUCAACUCGGAGGAAGGUGGGGACGACGUCAAGUCAUCAUGCCCCUUAUGUCUUGGGCUGCACACGUGCUACAAUGGCCGGUACAAUGAGCUGCGAUACCGUGAGGUGGAGCGAAUCUCAAAAAGCCGGUCUCAGUUCGGAUUGGGGUCUGCAACUCGACCCCAUGAAGUCGGAGUUGCUAGUAAUCGCAGAUCAGCAUUGCUGCGGUGAAUACGUUCCCGGGCCUUGUACACACCG
rnacentral:rRNA from 1 species